ACCAGAAGAUCAUGAUCGACUUCACGGAGAUUCUCUCGGCCGUCGGCGAAUUUGGGGCGUUUCAGAAGCGCUUGUUGGUGGCGGUGUGUAUCCCUAACAUUUUCAAUGCCUUCCACAUGUUCGGCCAGGUGUUCAGCGCCAUCAGCUUCCCGCACUACUGCAACAGCGGAUAGAAGUAAAGUUGGUUUUAUAUUCGCACAUUCCGACCUCUGCGUUCAAUAAGUUUGUAAAUCAGCAAGUAAAGAAUCCAUAUUCAAUUAUUUACCGUUGUAGUCGAUUAUGAGCAAAAUGUACACCACACUUUUCUGUCAAACUCGGCGUUUUAAAGGAGUAGAAAAACACGCUUACCUCUAUGAAGGAGGUGACGUCAUCGCUUUUUUGAGGGACCGUCUACAAACUAUCAGUUUGUAAAAUCAAGCUGCUAACGUUCACUGUCUAUAAUUGUACGCAAGCAAAAGAUGGCCAGAUUGAGACUUGUGAACUUCACCACUGGCUCCCUCCUUUAAAAUGUUACUCUGCUGAAGUACAUGUGAAUAAAAAAAAUAUUUUCAAGACAGCAAAUAACAGUGUCAUGAAAUGAGUUCGGCUCAUGUGGACGAAAAGAGUCCAAAAUGAGAAUCUAUGCAUUUGGGGAUUUACAAUGCUAUUAUUCACUUUGGAAUGUUUUUUUUUUUACUUGCAUGUACUUGCACAAUAUUUUUAUACAUAAUUGCCACACAUUACAUAGUAAUGUAAUAAGUUGUACUUUCAUUACAUAUUAAGUGAGAUUCUUGCCAAUGUUUGUUUCAUGUCCCAUGUGUCAAUAUAGAGCUGCAAUAGGAAGACCAGCAGACCUUUUGUGAUUUGUGUUUGUAAUCAAUGAAAUUGCAUGAUAAAAUGAUGAAAUAGGAGAUGUAAUGGAUUUAUUCUUAAA
rnacentral:lncRNA from 1 species